UCAUACCCUCCUUUAUAUAGAAAGAAAGGUUGGCAAAGGAUAACGACUACACAGAAUUUUAAAUUGGACUCCUAAUCACAUGAGGACUCUUUUAAAAUUCAAAUCUUCUAAUUGACCAAUAAAAUACCUGGACACCUAAGCCUAAACACCUAAGAUCCAUAUCUAUGGCGUGUGGAUUGAAACCCAUCAAAAGGAAUUCAGCCGCAUGCCAUGAGUUGGAAUCUAGGUGGACUCCUUCUCGGGUACCAACAUCAGCAUGAAGUUCGGAAGACUCCUCAAAUGUCAUCUGAUCUCCAAAUU
rnacentral:lncRNA from 1 species